rnacentral:rRNA from 1 species
UACGGAGGGGGACUAGCGUUGUUCGGAAUUACUGGGCGUAAAGCGCACGUAGGCGGAUUUGUAAGUCAGGGGUGAAAUCCCGGGGCUCAACCUCGGAACUGCCUUUGAUACUGCAAAUCUCGAGUCCGGAAGAGGUGAGUGGAAUUCCUAGUGUAGAGGUGAAAAUUCGUAGAUAUUCGCAAGAACACCAGUGGCGAAGGCGGCGACCUGGUCCGUGACUGACGCUGAGGCGCGAAAGCGUGGGGAGCAAACAGGG